rnacentral:lncRNA from 1 species
GGAGCGGUGAGCAGGAUGAUCGAGCAGGUUGGGAGGACCGGUGAGCAGGAUGAUCGAGCAGGUUGGGAGGAGCGGUGAGCAGGACGAUCGAGCAGGUUGGGAGGAGCGGUGAAGCAGGACGAUCGAGCAGGUUGGGAGGAGCGGGUGAGCAGGAAUAUCGAGCAGGUUGGGAGGAGCGUGUGAGCAGGACGAUCGAGCAGUUGGGAGGAGCGGUGAGGCAGGACGAUCGAGCAGGUUGGGAGGAGCGGUGAGCAGGACGAUCGAGCAGGUUGGGAGGAGCGGUGAGCAGGAGGAUCGAGCAGUUGGGAGAGCGUGAGCAGGAGAGAUCGAGCAGGUUGGGAGGAGCGGUGAGCAGGAUAGCGAGCAGGUUGGGAGGAGCGGUGAGCAGGACGAUCGAGCAGGUUGGGAGGAGCGGUGAGCAGGACGACCGUGUCGGCGGCCGCCAACUGGAGGAAGAGGAUCAAAUCAAAUCAAAUUUUAUUUGUCACAUACACAUGGUUAGAAAUGUUUAGUGCGAGUGUAGCGAAAUGCUGUGGCUUCUAGUUCCGACA